UACGUAGGGGGCAAGCGUUGUCCGGAAUCAUUGGGCGUAAAGCGCGUGUAGGCGGCUUGGUAAGUCCGCUCUGAAAGCCCGGGGCUCAACCCCGGGAGGCGGGUGGAUACUGUCAAGCUCGAGUCCGGAAGAGGCGAGUGGAAUUCCUGGUGUAGCGGUGAAAUGCGCAGAUAUCAGGAGGAACACCAAUGGCGAAGGCAGCUCGCUGGGACGUGACUGACGCUGAGACGCGAAAGCGUGGGGAGCGAGCAGG
rnacentral:rRNA from 1 species